rnacentral:rRNA from 1 species
UACGUAGGGCGCAAGCGUUAUCCGGAAUUAUUGGGCGUAAAGAGCUCGUAGGCGGUUUGUCGCGUCGGAUGUGAAAGCCCGGGGCUUAACUCCGGGUCUGCAUUCGAUACGGGCAGGCUAGAGUUCGGUAGGGGAGAUCGGAAUUCCUGGUGUAGCGGUGAAAUGCGCAGAUAUCAGGAGGAACACCGGUGGCGAAGGCGGAUCUCUGGGCCGAUACUGACGCUGAGGAGCGAAAGCGUGGGGAGCGAACAGG